rnacentral:rRNA from 1 species
GAUGAACGCUAGCGGCAGGCCUAACACAUGCAAGUCGAGGGAGAGGUUACCUUCGGGUAACCAAAACCGGCGCACGGGUGCGUAACGCGUAUACAAUCUGCCUUUCACAUAGGGAUAGCCCGAAGAAAUUUGGAUUAAUACCUAAUGGUAUAUAAGAGCGGCAUCGUUUUUAUAUUAAAGCUACGGUGGUGAAAGAUGAGUAUGCGUUCUAUUAGCUAGUUGGAGAGGUAACGGCUCCCCAAGGCGACGAUAGAUAGGGGUUCUGAGAGGGAUGUCCCCCACACUGGUACUGAGAUACGGACCAGGCUCCUACGGGAGGCAGCAGUGAGGAAUAUUGGACAAUGGUCGGAAGACUGAUCCAGCCAUGCCGCGUGCAGGAUGAAGGUCCUAUGGAUUGUAAACUGCUUUUGUAAGGGAAGAAUAAGGAGUACGUGUACUUUGAUGACGGUACCUUACGAAUAAGCAUCGGCUAACUCCGUG